rnacentral:rRNA from 1 species
AUUGCCCUAGUAACGGCGAGUGAAGCGGCAACAGCUCAAAUUUGAAAUCUGGCUCUUUUAGAGUCCGAGUUGUAAUUUGCAGAGGGCGCUUUGGCUUUGGCAGCGGUCCAAGUUCCUUGGAACAGGACGUCACAGAGGGUGAGAAUCCCGUACGUGGUCGCUAGCUAUUGCCGUGUAAAGCCCCUUCGACGAGUCGAGUUGUUUGGGAAUGCAGCUCUAAAUGGGAGGUAAAUUUCUUCUAAAGCUAAAUACUGGCCAGAGACCGAUAGCGCACAAGUAGAGUGAUCGAAAGAUGAAAAGCACUUUGGAAAGAGAGUCAAACAGCACGUGAAAUUGUUGAAAGGGAAGCGCUUGCAGCCAGACUUGCUUGCAGUUGCUCAUCCGGGCUCUUUUGCCCGGUGCAUUCUUCUGCAGGCAGGCCAGCAUCAGUUUGGGCGGUGGGAUAAAGGUCUCUGUCACGUACCUCUCUUCGGGGAGGCCUUAUAGGGGAGACGACAUACCACCAGCCUGGACUGAGGUCCGCGCAUUUAUGCUAGGAUGCUGGCGUAAUGGCUGUAAGCGGCCCGUCUUGAAACACGGACCAAGGAGUCUAACAUCUAUGCGAGUGUUUGGGUGUCAAGCCCGAACGCGUAAUGAAAGUGAACGGAGGUGGGAACCCGCAAGGGUGCACCAUCGACCGAUCCUGAUGUCUUCGGAAGGAUUUGAGUAAGAGCAUGGCUGUUGGGACCCGAAAGAUGGUGAACUAUGCUUGAAUAGGGUGAAGCCAGAGGAAACUCUGGUGGAGGCUCGCAGCGGUUCUGACGUGCAAAUCGAUCGUCAAAUUUGGGCAUAGGGGCGAAAGACUAAUCGAAUAUCUAUA